GUCGGGGGUUUUCCGGUCACAUUACAUCAAGCAAGAGAAACAUGGCGCGUAUGGCUGAUUACAGACGCGUGGCUCAAUCUGUGCAGACUAAACUCGAAUUUUGUUUACCCACAUUGUAUGAUGGACGCUAAAAUAUUAUGCAUUGAAAACUGUAGUGAGUGAAUGUCAACUAAUCCCUAUUAUGUAAUUUGGCAAGGAAGUUAGUAGUAAGGCCAGUAGCUAAUGGCUAACUAGCUACUUAGGACUCGUUCAAGAAAAGUCGGAGGCAUUACGAACACCACAAUCAUGUGCGGAGACUGCGCACGUGGUCCGCAGCAUGGCCCCUUGAGUCCACGUUGGGACCAUGGAACCCCUUGUGUUCUCUUGAGGGAAUCGUCGAGUUAAUGUGGCUUAAGUCUUGGAGCAGGUGGCGUGUAAGCCAUUAACAGCGUGGCUCAUUUCUACGAAGGAACCCGGCAUCAUUCAGUUUUCCCUCAAAGACUUGAAGAUGCAGUCAUGGAACAAGUCCAAUGUGGCGCAAGAUGAAUACCAUGGAGAGAAUUCAACUAAUACAACUCAAUUUAUUGAACAUUAAGUUGUCCAAUAAAGUCACAUUUGUAGUGGAA